UAGAGACAGGUUUUGGGGACAAGGAAAGUCGAGAGAGCCUAGCAUUCAAUGUCAAUCAUGGGCUCCCUGAGAUCCUCCAGCCCCCAGCUAAUCUGGGAUCCCCAUGGAGGAGGGACAUUUGACAUCAUCCUGGAGCCCAUUGGAGACUGGAGGAAAGCCUGCCAAGGUGUAAUGCCAAGCACUCCAUCAACGUGCAGGAGCCCCGGCUGAUCCAAAAUCGUGUCUCUACUGCCUGAGAUCAACGUGACUGGGUCCUCCAACUCUCCGUAUCCAUGACAACGACUAGAAUCUAUCAUGCAUCAAGAAUCUUGAGGGCUGGGGUUGUGGCUCAGUGGUAGAGCACUUGCCUAGCAUGUGUGAGGCCCUGGGUCAAUUCUCAGCGCCACAUAAAAAUAAAUAAAAUAAAGAUCCAUUGACAACU
rnacentral:lncRNA from 1 species